rnacentral:lncRNA from 1 species
GGGGAGUCACUCUUGCGUUCUCUCUCUUGGGUAGGUCAGUCUCGCUCUCUCUUGUCGGUAAGUAUAUCUGUUAUGGUAUUGCUGUCGUGCCGUUCCAGUAGUGUUUGUUAAUUUGUAGUUUUGAGGGGGGGAAUGAAAAAAGGUAAAUAAAGACCUUAGCCAAAAGCAAGGGAUUCCCGGGGCCCGAACGAGAGCAGAGGCAGCAGGGCA